rnacentral:rRNA from 1 species
GAUGAACGCUGGCGGCGUGCCUAAUACAUGCAAGUCGAGCGAACUUUUGGGAGCUUGCUCCCAAAAGUUAGCGGCGGACGGGUGAGUAACACGUGGGCAACCUGCCUGUAAGACUGGGAUAACUUCGGGAAACCGGAGCUAAUACCGGAUAACAUUCGAGACCACAUGGCCUUCAAUUAAAAGGUGGCUCUUAGCUACCACUUACAGAUGGACCCGCGGCGCCUUAGGUAGUUGGUGAGGGAACGGCUCACCAAGGCGACGAUGCGUAGCCGACCUGAGGGGGAGGUCGGGCAACCCUGGACUGGGACAACGGCCAGGCUCCUUCGGGGAGCAGGCAUAGGGGAACUUCCGCCAUGGGGGGCAGUCUGGCGGAGCCACGCCGGGGUGGGGGAGGAAGGCUUUGGGUCGGUAAGGUCCGUUUUUAGGGAAAAACAAGUAGCGUGCGAAUAGGGCGGUACCUUGACGGUACCUAACCAGAAAGCCACGGCUAACUACGUG